rnacentral:rRNA from 1 species
GACGAACGCUGGCGGCGUGCUUAACACAUGCAAGUCGAACGGAAAGGCCCUGCUUUUGUGGGGUGCUCGAGUGGCGAACGGGUGAGUAACACGUGAGUAACCUGCCCUUGACUUUGGGAUAACUUCAGGAAACUGGGGCUAAUACCGGAUAGGAGCUCCUGCUGCAUGGUGGGGGUUGGAAAGUUUCGGCGGUUGGGGAUGGACUCGCGGCUUAUCAGCUUGUUGGUGGGGUAGUGGCCUACCAAGGCUUUGACGGGUAGCCGGCCUGAGAGGGUUACCGGCCACAUUGGGACUGAGAUACGGCCCAGACUCCUACGGGAGGCAGCAGUGGGGAAUAUUGCACAAUGGGCGGAAGCCUGAUGCAGCAACGCCGCGUGCGGGAUGACGGCCUUCGGGUUGUAAACCGCUUUCGCCUGUGACGAAGCGUGAGUGACGGUAAUGGGUAAAGAAGCACCGGCUAACUACGUG